rnacentral:lncRNA from 1 species
UCCUCAGAAUAUGCCUUCGCUGUUCAUAUUCGAUCUCUGCAGAUGAGAACAGAGAGGAGAGAGAAGGAGGGAGACUCUGCAGAUGAGAACAUAUUCGAUCUCCACAUCAAUUACCAUUGUUUCCCCCAUUUCAAAACCCUAAUUGUGCCUGCAAUUUCUCAAAAAUCACAGGAUUGAAAAUUGAUACAAUAGGCCGAAAUGAAUGGAAAAUCAGACGCAAAUGACAUAGUAUAUUCAAUACAAACACAGCAAAACCCUCCAAAACAUAGCAGUAAAGGUAUCAAACAGCACAAAUAGGAAAUGAAUUAGUAGAACUACUAUUAAAUAAAUAAAUAAAUGGCUAUCAAAUCUAGAUCUGAAACCAGAAACCAAAAACCAAACCAAAUCAGUAGAGUCACAAACCGACUAGCUGAUAAGAGAAAACUACUCUCUUCUCUUCAGAACUUGAGUGCAGACCCGAAGAGGAAAGCGACGAACGUGAGAGCACAACCGACGGCGAACGACGGAGAAACAGAUCCGGCCGAAGACGUAGGGCUCGG